rnacentral:rRNA from 1 species
AUUGAACGCUGGCGGCAGGCCUAACACAUGCAAGUCGAGCGGAUGAAGGGAGCUUGCUCCUGGAUUCAGCGGCGGACGGGUGAGUAAUGCCUAGGAAUCUGCCUGGUAGUGGGGGAUAACGUCCGGAAACGGGCGCGAAUACCGCAUACGUCCUGAUGGUGAAAGUGGGGGAUCUUUGGACCUCACGCUAUCAGAUGAGCCUAGGUCGGAUUAGCUAGUUGGUUGGGUAAAGGCCUACCAAGGCGACGAUCCGUAGCUGACCUGAGAGGAUGAUCAGUCACACUGGAACUGAGACACGGUCCAGACUCCUACGGGAGGCAGCAGUGGGGAAUAUUGGGCAAUGGGCGAAAGCCUGAUCCAGCCAUGCCGCGUGUGUGAAGAAGGUCUUCGGAUUGUAAAGCACUUUAAGUUGGGAGGAAGGGCAGUAAGUUAAUACAUUGCUGUUUUGACGUUACCAACAGAAUAAGCACCGGCUAACUUCGUG